CCUACGGGUGGCUGCAGUGGGGAAUAUUGGACAAUGGGCGAAAGCCUGAUCCAGCCAUGCCGCGUGUGUGAAGAAGGCCUUCGGGUUGUAAAGCACUUUCAGUGGGGAAGAAAGCCUUGGGGCUAAUACCCUCGAGGAAGGACAUCACCCACAGAAGAAGCACCGGCUAACUCCGUGCCAGCAGCCGCGGUAAUACGGAGGGUGCGAGCGUUAAUCGGAAUUACUGGGCGUAAAGCGCGCGUAGGCGGUCUGAUAAGCCGGUUGUGAAAGCCCCGGGCUCAACCUGGGAACGGCAUCCGGAACUGUCAGGCUAGAGUGCAGGAGAGGAAGGUAGAAUUCCCGGUGUAGCGGUGAAAUGCGUAGAGAUCGGGAGGAAUACCAGCGGCGAAGGCGGCCUUCUGGACUGACACUGACGCUGAGGUGCGAAAGCGUGGGUAGAAAACAGGAUUAGAUACCCCAGUAGUC
rnacentral:rRNA from 1 species